AGAGCUUCUCCCCUUGAAACAUAAUAUACUAAGAAACUUAGGAAAAAACUGAAGUAAACAAGGAAAUUUUAAAUAAGAGCUUCUCCCCUUGAAACAUAAUAUACUAAGAAACUUACGAAAAAACUGAAGUAAACAAUCAGGGCAAAUCGGUGUUAGUGAAUAGAAUGUUCUUCCCUGGUAAAGUGAAUCCUGGAACCAGGCUGCGUUUUCCCUGAGAAUCGGCUCAAGGGUUCCAUUGGUCUGGGGGCAUUUCUCUUCUAGCCACAUGUGGUUCUCUCCACGUUUCAUGUGCAGGGUCAGAAACCUUUUCUUUUUCCUGUAAAGGGCCAGAUAGUAAAUGUUUUAGGCUUUGCAGGCAAUAUAGUCUCUGUCACUACUACUCUACUCUUGUCCAUGAGCAACUCUAAAGAGUACAUGAAUAAGUGAGUGCAGCCGUGUUUUUUUUGGGGGGGGAGGGGUGUCUGGACUUUAAUAUCCUCAUGGAUAAAAUGAAUACCCAGAGAAAAUAAUGGGGAAAUGGGAGAAGUUAAUCUUUGAUCCACAUAUCAGAGUUUUGUUAAAGUGCCAACUUAGUUCAGUUAUGUCUCUGUCAGAAUUCACUUCACAUUUCUCUCUCUUCCCACUUGCAGCCAUAUCCUACCUCCAUUCCUCAAGAUUAGGCUGGUAAAGCAGGCUUAAUAAAAGGACAAUUAAGGGCUUCCCUGGUGGUGCAGUGGUUGAGAGUCCGCCUGCCGAUGCGGGGGACGCGGGUUCGUGCCCCGAUCCUGGAGGAUCCCACGUGCCGCGGAGCGGCUGGGUCCGUGAGCCAUGGCCGCUGGGCCUGCGCGUCCGGAGCCUGUGCUCCGCAACGGGAGAGGCCAUGGCGGUGAGAGGCCCGCGUACCGCAAAAUAAAUAAAUAAAAGAACAAUUAAGUUUUAUCAUAGAGGUUCUCAGGUAUGUAACUUGAGACCCACAGCUGUCAGAACAGCAUGCGCAAAUGCCAUCUUGAAAUAAUUUGGAAACUUGCCACUUCUGAAUAUGAUAGUGAGUGGCUAGUGAGGCAUUUAUUAAGAGAAAACAUUCUAUUGGAUUGGAAGGCAAUGAGAUUAGGAAGAGAAACAGAUGGAUGAAGGUGAAAAUGAUGCUGAAAGUCAAAAUAGAGCAUCAUAAAUGGAAAAUGACAAGAAAGAGGGAAAAAUUAGAGUACACACCCCACAUUAAUUUUUUGACAAAGACAGUUUUCUUUCAGAUAUUUAUAUCCCCACCAGGAAAACUUUUUGUGAUCUGUCUCCAAGCUCCAUCAUCCCAACCUUCUUCAAUAUACCCACCUUGCUUUUAUGGGAUACAUUUCCUAAAUCAAAGUACACAGAUAUCCAAAGAGUUCCAUUACUAGGCUCAGAAAUAUUUUUCUAUUAUAGUUUUGGAAAUUCGGGGAUUAGGAAAAACCUAGUAGGCACCUUGAAUUCCACUCUAGGAAGGAGACAUAGCUCCUGGGACAUAGGCUAGUGAGCAACCAUUCACAAGUGCUGUAACCCUCAAAACUCUCAGUCAUUGUCACUUUGCUACUUCAUCCUUGUGAGUGACAGUCAUCAAAGUAUUUAGCAAUCUUAGUAGAGAAGACAGGUUCACAUAGGAUAAGUCAUGUCAAGCUGAUCCCAUUUUCUUUUGGGUGAGCUCGCUAGAUUGAAGAAUUUGGAAGAAAUUGGGACUAGCAUGUCUUGUUUUCAGCAAAGCACUUGACAAUGUUUCCAUGGUAGUUUUGCAGUUUCCAUGGCAUUUUUGCAGGUAAGGAGUUGAUACAUGCUCUUGUAGCUGUACUCCAAGGUAGAUUCCCAGCUGAUUAACAACUUUUCUCCAAAGUGCUGUCUCAGAGCCCAAUGAAAUGUAGCAAGAAGUCCCUGAGGUCUCUGAUUUGAGAUCACAGAAAGCCAUGUAGCUGAUUUGCUAGUGACCCAGAGCUGAGAAGAAUCAACACCACAGGUGACUGAAUCAAGGCACCAAAGAUAUAACAUCCAAUGUAAAAAUCUCCCUGGUUUGUCCAAGUAGUUCUCCAAUCAUUUUACUCUCUUAAGUGCUACUACCAGACUCAACUUUGACCCACGAUUUGAUAUAAUGCCAUUCCUAGACAAAUGGAAUUCAAGAUCAAGGCUAAUGACAGAGCCUCAAGUAACAUUGGCCAAUCAUCACCCUGGGCUCUUGUCUCCUCUCUGCUCAAGCAUCUUAGCUGUCACCAUUUCCUUGUGACCAAGUCCUCAUUUGAUCACCAUCUCCAAUUAAUGGGUUUCUUUUGUUCUCAGGUGUUUGUGUCAAUACCCACUUAGUAUCCUAACUCCUUAGAAAAGUGUUCAGCUUUACCAGUCUGAAGCCAAACUGUCACCCCCAAGCCCAACCUACUGCCUUCUUCCCAUCCCUCUGAGGCUCACAGCCAUCUUCAUGGGGGGUAGGGGAUGGGUCUAUUCCUCUCAGUCCUGCCAAAGUAGCCCCAACCCACCUUUUGAGGUGCUGGCACAGGUCAUAAAAGGGAAAGAGGGAAUGUGAGCUGAAGAAACAAACAAGGGCAGGGAUUCCUCAAACACAUCCCCCUCAGGACCAGGGAAGUGCACUGAGAAGACAGGAACCUGGGCAGGGAGACACCGGGUCCCAUCCUGUCUGAGCUGAGGAGGGCUUCAGGCCCCUCUGCUGUGUGGUCCUUUGUCUCCUGGGAGCAGGUGAGUCCUGGGAACAGGUGGGACAGCUUUGUCCUUGAACUUCAAGUUUUUUUUAUGGAGCUGCCUCAUGAGACUCUCUGGAUGUGGUUUCUUGCUCCCAGAGGCCCUUUGGACACUGGAAUUACCCAGACCCCAAAACACCUGGUGACAGUGUUGGGGAGCAACGGGACCCUAAAGUGUGAACGACAUCCGGGACGUAAUUCUAUAUACUGCUAUACACAGAAUGCUGAGAAGUCACUGGAGCUCCCGUUUUUCUAACAAUAAGCCUCAUCCAGAUUGAGAAACCAGUCCAAGACGGGAGAGCCAUGGGCUAAUCCCAACCCUCUGACUGUAGGCCCCCCCUAAGACCUCUUACUGCCUUUCUGUCUUGGUCCAGGACAGAAGAACUGAGUUUUCCAUUUGGCCACAAGGGGGCACUGUGACUCUCCUGAGAUUCAGGGAGAAGAGGGAGGGUCGAGAGAACUCCCUGGAUGGAAGAGGGUUGAGAGAGAGUCCGGGUUUGUUCACAACACAGAACGUGGUUUGCGGAGGCUGUGAGUCCGUGCUGAAAUGUUAGGGGUUAAACACAGACUAUUGGCUUUGUGUUGAUCUGCAGGGGUUUUUUUUUUCCCUUAUUAACAGGAGGUACUUUUAUUUUUUUUUAAACAUCUUUAUUGGAGUAUAAUUGCUUUAUAACAAAGUGAAUCAGUUAUACAUAUACCUAUGUUCCCAUAUCUCUUCCCUCUUGCGUGUCCCUCCCUCCCUCCCUCCCUAUCCCACCCCUCUAGGUGGUCACAAAGCACCGAGCUGAUCGCCCUGUGCUAUGCGGCUGCUUCCCACUAGCUAGCUAUUUUACGUUUGAAAGUGUAUAUAUGUCCAUGCCACUCUCUCACUUUAUCACAGCUUACCCUUCCCCCUCCCCAUAUCCUCAGGUCCAUUCUCUAGUAGCUCUGUGUCUUUAUUCCCGUCUUGCCCCUAGGUUCUUCACGACCUUUUUUUUUUUUUAGAUUCCAUAUAUAUGUGUUAGCAUACGGUAUUUGUUUUUCUCUUUCUGACUUACUUCACUCUGUAUGACAGACUCUAGGUCCAUCCACCUCACUACAAAUAACUCAGUUUUGUUUCCUUUUAUGGCCGAGUAAUAUUCCAUUGUAUAUAUGUGCCACAUCUUCUUUAUCCAUUCAUCUGUUGAUGGACACUUAGGUUGCUUCCAUGUCCUGGCUAUUGUAAAUAGAGUUGCAAUGAACAUUUUGGUACAUGACUCUUUUUGAAUUAUGGGAGCCUUAGCAUGUGGGUUCAUUGUUACCGUGCUUGGUCUUUCCAGGGUCUCCGUGGGAAUCACAGCAUAUGCACCAAUGUCUCUCACUCUAACUGGGUCUGUAUGCCAAUGUCUUCCAGCUGAGUGUCCUCUGAAAUCUCUGCUCAGUUCUAUAGCCUUCCAGAACCUUCUAGAGUCCCGCCCUGUGUAGACACAACUGGCCAAGAAAAAAGGUGCUUCUUUCUUCUUCAUGAUUUCCUGGAGUUUCGUACCCAUCACAGCUGCUCCGGGUCUGUGGAGUGAGUGAGGGAUCUGGGCUGCCGACGCGGGCUGGUAAGAGGCCUGUGAUCUGGGAAAUGCGCAGCUUUGGCCACAAGGCAGCGCUGUGGCUCCACUGAG